rnacentral:rRNA from 1 species
UUCCGGUUGAUCCUGCCGGAGGCUACCGCUAUUGGAGUUCGAUUAAGCCAUGCGAGUCGCGAGAAAUUAGAUUCUCGGCGUACCGCUCAGUAACACGUGGGUAACCUGCCCUAUGCUGGAUAAUAACCUCGGGAAACUGAGAAUAAUGAUCCAUAGUUCACUACGCCUGGAACGGUGAGUGGAUGAAAGCUCCGGCGGCAUAGGAUGGGCCUGCGGCGUAUCAGGUUGUAGGGGGUGUAACGUACCCUCUAGCCCUCUACGCGUACGGGUGUUGGGAGACAUAGCCCGGAGAUGGAUUCUGAGACACGAAUCCAGACCCUACGGGGUGCAGCAGGCGCGAAAACUUGGCAAUGCGAGAAAUCGUGACCAGGGAACUCCAAGUGCAUCGGGUAAGACCGGUGCUUUUCUUGACUCUAAAUAGGUCUUGGAAUAAGGGGUGGGUAAGGACGGUGCCAGCCGCCGCGGUAAUACCGGCGCCUCAAGUGGUAGUCGCUUUUAUUGGGCCUAAAACGUCCGUAGCCGGUCUGAUACAUUCGUGGGUAAAUCAACCAGCUCAACUGGUUGAAUUCUGCGAGGACGGUCAGACUUGGGACCGGGAGAGGUGUGGGGUACGCUCAGGGUAGGGGUAAAAUCCUGUCAUCCUGAGCGGACC